AGCGAACGCUGGCGGCAGGCCUAACACAUGCAAGUCGAACGGAAAGGCCCUUCGGGGUACUCGAGUGGCGAACGGGUGAGUAACACGUGGGUGAUCUGCCCUGCACUUUGGGAUAAGCCUGGGAAACUGGGUCUAAUACCGAAUAGGACCACGGCCUUCAUGGGUUGUGGUGGAAAGCUUUUGCGGUGUGGGAUGGGCCCGCGGCCUAUCAGCUUGUUGGUGGGGUAAUGGCCUACCAAGGCGACGACGGGUAGCCGGCCUGAGAGGGUGGCCGGCCACACUGGGACUGAGAUACGGCCCAGACUCCUACGGGAGGCAGCAGUGGGGAAUAUUGCACAAUGGGCGCAAGCCUGAUGCAGCGACGCCGCGUGAGGGAUGACGGCCUUCGGGUUGUAAACCUCUUUCAGCAGGGACGAAGCGCAAGUGACGGUACCUGUAGAAGAAGGACCGGCCAACUACGUGCCAGCAGCCGCAGUAAGAC
rnacentral:rRNA from 1 species